rnacentral:rRNA from 1 species
GAGUUGUAAUUUGCAGAGGAUGCUUCGGGUUCGGCUCCGGUCUAAGUUCCUUGGAACAGGACGUCAUAGAGGGUGAGAAUCCCGUAUGUGACUGGCCGCCACGCCCGUGUGAAGCUCCUUCGACGAGUCGAGUUGUUUGGGAAUGCAGCUCAAAAUGGGUGGUAAAUUUCAUCUAAAGCUAAAUAUUGGCCAGAGACCGAUAGCGCACAAGUAGAGUGAUCGAAAGAUGAAAAGCACUUUGGAAAGAGAGUCAAACAGUACGUGAAAUUGUUGAAAGGGAAGCGCUUGCAACCAGACUUGCCCGCGGGUGAUCAGCCGGUAUUUUUACCGGUGCACUCGCCCGUGGUCAGGCCAGCAUCGGUUUGGGCGGCUGGAUAAAGUCCACCGGAAUGUAGCUCCUCUCGGGGAGUGUUAUAGCCGGAGGUGCCAUGCAGCCUGCCCGGACCGAGGACCGCGCUUCGGCUAGGAUGCUGGCGUAAUGGUUGUAAGCGACCCGUCUUGAAACACGGACCAAGGAGUCUAACAUCUAUGCGAGUGUUUGGGUGUCAAACCCAUGCGCGUAAUGAAAGUGAACGGAGGUGGGAACCCUUAAGGGUGCACCAUCGACCGAUCCUGAUGUCUUCGGAUGGAUUUGAGUAAGAGCAUAGCUGUUGGGACCCGAAAGGAUGGUGAAACUAUGCCUGAAUAGGGUGAAGCCAGAGGAAACUCUGGG